rnacentral:rRNA from 1 species
GAUGAACGCUGACAGAAUGCUUAACACAUGCAAGUCUUUGGCGAAGCUGUGCUUGCACAGCCUAGCCAAGGCGGACGGGUGAGUAACGCGUAAGGAACUUGCCCUGCAGUCAGGGAUAACAGACGGAAACGACUGAUAAGACCUGGUAAAGUCAGGCGGACUCAUGUCCAGCCUGAUGAAAAGAGAUGCUGCAGGAGAGCCUUGCGUCCUAUUAGCUUGUUGGUGGGGUAACGGCCCACCAAGGCGAUGAUAGGUAGCCGGCCUGAGAGGGUGGACGGCCACAAGGGGACUGAGAUACAGCCCUUACUCCUACGGGAGGCAGCAGUGGAGAAUAUUGGACAAUGGGGGCAACCCUGAUCCAGCAAUGCUGUGUGCACGAUGAAGGUUUUCGGAUUGUAAAGUGCUUUCAGCAGGGAAGAAAAAAUGACGGUACCUGCAGAAGAAGCGACGGCUAAAUACGUG